UCGCUGGCCGUGCUGUAGCAGCACGUACAUACUGGAGUGGCGCCGAUUGGGGUCUCCAGUGUUGGCGGAUCUGCUUCAGUAAGGCCAGC
ensembl:miRNA